GUCAUCACUAGACAGGACACCCAGUCUGGUGCCCAUCCUCUCACCUGCCACCUCCAAAGCAAGGCUUGAAGGAGUCAUGCAUUGCCAGAAUGGUGAGAUGAUGAAAGUAUCACUGUGGAGUCAGACAAACCAGUCACAGCUAUGCUACUGUGUCUUCAGAAGUUUAUUACCUGGAAACUGAGAGGCCAGCUAAUUUGAGUGAAAAGCAGUGAGACCCUAUACUACCUCAGACAUUCAGCCUCUUAGUCAUCACUCUGUCAGUGACACAAACAGAAUAUUCUGUGUGCGACCCGCAGGACGCAUGGACCAGCAUGAGGACAUAGACCAGAGAGAUGGGAAAUUCACCUCUGUUCUCUGGUAGCUCUUUCCCACCUCACUCCCAAAAAAGCAAGCAAACUCUC